GAACUAUACCUGAAACCAGAGGAAACUCUUGAUGCACGUCUGAAAUGAUUCUGAUGUGCGAAUCGAUCGUCUGAUUUUAGUUUAGGGCGAAAGACUAAUCAA
rnacentral:ncRNA from 1 species